CCCACCCCAAGGGAACAAUCAGGGAAGAAGGAACGCAAGACGGUGGAAGCAUGCCAACCUAUUAAACCGCAAGUCAGAGAUCAAACCAUGUACUUGAAUCUCUCAAGUUCCCGGCUUAACCCUCUUCCAAGUAGCAUUGCGAAGCUGAUCUCAGACAAACGCAGCCCAUGGAAGAAUGCUAAGUGCUCGUGAUUGGUUAAAACUCAAAUAAAAAGUUGAAGUGGAGACGAUAUAUACCUGUUCCAAAAUACAGAUCCUCAUUUGAAAAUGGAAAAAGAAAAGAAAUGGAGGCAUUGUGUGAUAUUUGCCUAAAUAUAACUAAAGAGAUCCAUUUAUUUUUAGUGUUUGAUUAAAAACCCUCAAAGGAAAAGAGAAAUUUUGAUCUUUGAGAAGAGCUGUUUCAUCACAGGGUGAAGUUGUUUCCUGAGCCCUUUGAUCUGAAAUGACCUUGCGACCUGGAACCAGCAGACAGCCUGAGGGAGGCAGUGCAUGUUCUGAGCCAGGGCCUCAGGAGGCCUGCAGCUGCCAUUCUGCUUCUGUUGGAACAUGACCUCCUUGAGAACACUCCCAGGCCUGACUGCAGGGUGGGGAGACCACACAGAGCAGAGCCGAGCCACCGGGAUGAGGCCCCUAGAUCACCCAGCUCCCAGCUGACCACAGAUCAUGAGUGAUCCCGUUUCUCCCUAGGUCAAGGGUGAUGUUUUGCUCAGAGAAAACUGAAGUUUGGAUUGUUCCAGUCCUGCAUCACAUCCUGUUUCAGGCUGCCCUAAAACAAAACCAGAAACAACCAUCACCACAAAACACCAUACCUUCAAUAGUCUUCUCAGUGUUCAGAAUAAAGGCUCUGGUUUUCCCUUGGGCUCAAUUUU
rnacentral:lncRNA from 1 species